rnacentral:rRNA from 1 species
UACGUAGGUGGCAAGCGUUGUCCGGAAUUAUUGGGCGUAAAGCGCGCGCAGGCGGCCUUUUAAGUCUGAUGUGAAAGCCCACGGCUCAACCGUGGAAGGUCAUUGGAAACUGAAGGGCUUGAGUACAGAAGAGGAAAGCGGAAUUCCACGUGUAGCGGUGAAAUGCGUAGAGAUGUGGAGGAACGCCAGUGGCGAAGGCGGCUUUCUGGUCUGUAACUGACGCUGAGGCGCGAAAGCGUGGGGAGCAAACAGG